CUUAUGAUUACUUGAACAUUUUUAUAAGAAUGUGCUAGAUAGUGAAGUAACCGAUUUAGGAGAUUGCAGACUUGAGAAAAUAAACGUAGACUUUUGGCUCACUUUCAAGCUGUUUGACCCAGUCAUUAGUAAAUGAGCCAAAAUUGCUACGUAUACUAUUGAAUCAUGUUUUAAUUGUUUGAUCAUUAUUAAUCUGGUUGUAAAUGCAUAAGAAAAGAGAAACAAAUGCUUUUGAAGGAAAAUAGCAUACUUAAAUACUUACUCUUACAAGAGUCGUGGAUCAAGUAUAAUUGAAAUCAACUUCUAGUUGAUGAAAUAUGGAUGUGGUGCAUUGUCCAUGCCUUUGUUUUUUAACUGGUUGCAGGCAAGUAACACCAACCCAUUUUAAACUAAUGUUCGUUUGAAGUGAAUUAAUCUUCUAAUGUUUCUUAGAUGAAAUCGUCAUUUGUUCUAUUUGUCAUCACUAGUUUUGUUUGUGGGGGAUGGCCCAGCAUACAUUUUAGUUUUUGCUAACGUUAGGCUAAUGCAUUUGUAUUAUGUUGCUUUUACCCUCAUAAAAAACAGAUAACUACUUAGAUAUAAGCGAAGAUAUUCUACCCUCUAUUUGGACUGGGAGCCAAUGUCGUUUUGAUCUUUUCUGGACUUAUAAUGAAGUGCUUUUCGAACAUGAGAAAACAUUUGGGACCUGGAGUAGAUGGAUGGGCCAUUUCUUUGAAGUAUAUGAUGAGCAUAGUCGCUCUUAUGGGGUUUGCAAUUUCUGGUCUUUAUUGGUGGGUAAAUGCACAUGUUCCCCUUCCUACCCAUAGCAAGAAGAAUAAGGAAAAAACUAACAUGACCACAAUGGAGAGCCGAGAGUUUAAAGUUCUUGGCGUUCUUUCCAUAUAUCAGGGUUCUAGCCACGUUGGUUGUAGGAUACGGUAUUAGCACUAAUCUUGUUGAGGUUACAUGAAAUCGUAGCUCAAAGCUCAGGUAAAACAUUAAAAUAGUUGUUUGAAGAGUGUUUAACUUCCGUUAUCAUCUUACCGACCCUUGGUUGUAUUAAGGGACGCAAACGAGAAGAAAUUGAGUUAAGUUGAGUUCAUGAUCGCUCAUUUGCAGCCCUGAUGAGAAAUGCACAAUCAGUCGUGUGUUUGAAACGGUCUUUUAGGCUUUAUUGAGCCUAUUGGUUGUACUAAAGUCCUAAUAUGUGAUUAAAAAGGCUGUUCCAAAGCUCAAUCGGCUCCAAUCUUUUACCUACAGUUUCCUAGUCCAAAUGAAUACUCUUCUUUCAUAGUGAUUUCUCAUCUGCAACUGGAAUAAUGGCGUUCUCAAUGUUGUUAAGUCGGUGGAUAUUCAACAAAUACGGAUGGGGUGUUGCAGCCAAAAUCACACCCACGGUUCUGCUUCUGGCUCUGGUUCUUCUCUUUCAUUUUGUUUGGUGAUUCAAUUGGACCAGGUCUCAUGAAGUUCGGGAUUACUCCUCUUUUAGUAGAAGUUUACGUGGGUGCUAUGCAAGUAUGCAUAACAUCUUCAGCAAAAGUGCCGAAUAGAGUCUCUUUGACCCAUGCAAGGAAAUGGCCUAUAUUCCUUUGGAUGAGGACUCCAAGGUUCGAUACUUGAAAGUUGAAACUCAAAACCAGGUUUUAACGUUAUUUUAAGUUAGCUAAUGAUAGCAAAGUGGAUGGAUCAUUUGGUUUGGAUAAUGGAUCAAAAGAGCUUUGGGUUGAAGCGGACUGUUUAAUUUUAAUUAAUUAUGAAUCAGGUGGCAUGGUGCAAUAACGCAUACACGGGGGAAACUUAUUUGUCAUAUGAUAGCAAAACUUUCUUAUUACUAUCUAAAUAUCUAAUCUAGUUUUUUUUUAAUA